rnacentral:lncRNA from 1 species
CUGAAUAUACAACAGUAUAUGAUCGGUUCCACUCUGAAAGAUAACAAUUGCAUGCAAAAAAUUAAGACCACCACUGUUUUAUUCAGGAAACUGCCUGUCAAUAAUAUGGAACUAAUGUAAUGUCACAACACAUCUCCGAUUCGAAACAUGCAGAAACAAUUUUGUCUGAACAGUUUACAGGCAUAGUCAAAGUAAUAGUACAACAUAACUGAAGAUUUUCCAAACACGCAACAUUCAAACUACAUGAGCACAUUUCAACACUAUUUUUUUUUCAAAUCAGCCUUCAUUCAUUCUUAGCUCCGGUGUUUUGUUCUAGUUGUUUCGACCGUGACCUUCUACCCCACAAUUCUUGCAGUGCGCAGGUUUCCGAGCUUGGUUUGGAACAUCUCCACAAUCUGGGCAUGUCGUCCGCUUGUGCUCUGCCGCCAAUAAAUGAUUCAAAAUCUUGUUUUCUUGAUGAAACCUCUGUAUGGCACCUUUUAUCUGCUAUGUACCAACCGUUGUCCAUGGAAUUGGAACGCUGCAGCCUUAUCAGAGCAGGGCACUCACAACGACAAGACUUAGUGUUCUCCACGAACGCCUUCCCCUGAUGCCCAUUUGUACACAAUGAGAAAUAAGUUUAGUAAUGAACAAUUCAGUAGCUAGCAGUGUUCAGCAAUACCAAAGCAUUUUUUACAUACAGCGCGGCCACAGACUAUUUUUUGCAUGCAUUUCUUGCAUGCAUUUCUCCCAAGAGUAUAUGUUGUGAAGAUCAUAGGCUUCAUCCGAAGUAUCAAAACUUGUCCCCAAUUUUGGCACAAUUACAUUAUCUACAAGAUUUUUAGCAGAACCACGGAUUGCUUUCUCCAGUGCAAAAAUACCAGACACUGUGUCCUGCCUGCCGCGGCAGCAUAAAUCCUAACUCUGCGAGCAAAUAACACUAUUUUUUGAUAAAAUUGCAAAUGCAAGGCAGUUUCAUAAGUAUCCCAGAAACCGGCCAGAACACUUUCACUUAGUUUCCCCAUUUUCUCCAGUGCAAAAAUCAUCCUAUUAGGGCAUGGCGCCCUGCCUGGCUCGGCAACCCCAAUUGUGACUCUGGGUGUAAAUCACGGUGUUCAGACAGAAACGGAUAACGAACAAAUGCAAAUUACUCUCCUCAUCCAAAUGUAAAUCACAGUGUUCAGACAAAAAUAGUCGAUGCAAACAUAAAGCCAGAAAAAACUAGAUUGCGGAGCUAUCACAUACAGCAAAGACUCUAAAUUACUCCCUGAUUAAAAAUUCAGCCUGGCUCAAGCAGCACGCAGGCACAAACACCAUACAGGAAAUCAAUUAUUUGCCCACAGCGCACCAGCCAUAGUGCAAAAAUAACCGUUAAGUGUUUCAACUCUUGGUCAUUCAAACACACACCACGAACUAUGUCACACAGAAUCUAAAUCGUCACAAAGCCAUACCUUUGCGUUCACCUAGCAGCUUUGAG